rnacentral:lncRNA from 1 species
GAAAAGACCUUCUACAUAUUUAUUUUAAAGUGUUCAUUUAGGACAAAUGGUUUUGAAAAUGUAUAAAAAUAAAUUAUGUAUUAAUCCAUCUUCAAUAUGUACAUGGUCCCUUAAAAGGAUUUAUAUUUUAUAUCAUGAAAAAUGUUAUUUCAACAACCUAACAGUAUUCUUAAAAGUUAGGAAUUUUAAGAUUUUCUAAUAGAAAAGUUUUAGUAUUCACUGGCAGAAAAAUAAUGAAACUUGGAAUGAUUUCAUUAAUAUUUCAAAAUAUAAUACUGUCUUGGCUAUGCCAUGCCAUAUAUCACAAGAAAAAUCUUUAUCACUAAACUAUACUAAUCCCAAGUGGUAGCAUUUUCAUUUAAGAACAAAGCACAAAAAUAUUUUAUAAAAGAAAAUGUCUCAUCAUAAAAAUUUUCAAAGCUGAAUGCUUUAAACAAAAAUAGCUGAGGUUUGAUUUCACAAUAUCAAGUUACCAUAAGCACUUUGUAAACAUACACCUAUUACAGGCUAUCAACUUAAAGCCAGUUAUCACUAAAAGAAGAUAUAGUAAAAAGAAAUUUCAGUGCAAAAGCAUAUAUCAACUAAAUUUAUCAACUGACUUAAGACAAUUUUAAUAUAAAUUUCACAACUUAAAUCCCGUAAUAUAAAGUAACCCUAUAAAAGC